rnacentral:rRNA from 1 species
GAUGAACGCUGGCGGCGUGCCUAAUACAUGCAAGUAGAACGCUGAAGGAGGAGCUUGCUCUUCUGGAUGAGUUGCGAACGGGUGAGUAACGCGUAGGUAACCUGCCUGGUAGCGGGGGAUAACUAUUGGAAACGAUAGCUAAUACCGCCUGACAACAGUUAUUGCAUGAUAACUGUUUAAAAGGGGCAACUGCUCCACUACCAGAUGGACCUGCGUUGUAUUAGCUAGGUGGUGAGGUAACGGCUCAACAAGGCGACGGUACAUAGCCGACGUGCGAGGGGGGUCGGCCCACAUGGGACCGAGACACCGCCCAGGAUCCCUACGGGGGGAGCAGUAGGGGAACUUCGGAAAUGGGCGGAAGGCUGAACGCGGCAAUGCGCGGGAGUGAAGAAGGGUUUUGGGUUGGAAAGCUCUGUUGUAAGGGAAGAAAGAGUGGGAGAGUGGAAAGUUCACACUGUGACGGUACCUUACCAGAAAGCGACGGCUAACUACGUG